rnacentral:rRNA from 1 species
GACGAACGCUGGCGGCGUGCCUAAUACAUGCAAGUAGAACGCUGAAGAGAGGAGCUUGCUCUUCUUGGAUGAGUUGCGAACGGGUGAGUAACGCGUAGGUAACCUGCCUGGUAGCGGGGGAUAACUAUUGGAAACGAUAGCUAAUACCGCAUGAAAUUGCUUAUCGCAUGAUAAUUAAUUGAAAGAUGCAAUUGCAUCACUACCAGAUGGACCUGCGUUGUAUUAGCUAGUUGGUGAGGUAACGGCUCACCAAGGCGACGAUACAUAGCCGACCUGAGAGGGUGAUCGGCCACACUGGGACUGAGACACGGCCCAGACUCCUACGGGAGGCAGCAGUAGGGAAUCUUCGGCAAUGGGGGGAACCCUGACCGAGCAACGCCGCGUGAGUGAAGAAGGUUUUCGGAUCGUAAAGCUCUGUUGUAAGAGAAGAACGGGUGUGAGAGUGGAAAGUUCACACUGUGACGGUAUCUUACCAGAAAGGGACGGCUAACUACGUGCCAGCAGCCGCGGUAAUACGUAGGUCCCGAGCGUUGUCCGGAUUUAUUGGGCGUAAAGCGAGCGCAGGCGGGUUAGAUAAGUCUGAAGUUAAAGGCUGUGGCUUAACCAUAGUAUGCUUUGGAAACUGUUUAACUUGAGUGCAGAAGGGGAGAGUGGAAUUCCAUGUGUAGCGGUGAAAUGCGUAGAUAUAUGGAGGGACACCGGUGGCGAAAGCGGCUCUCUGGUCUGUAACUGACGCUGAGCUCGAAAGCGUGGGAGCAAACAGG